rnacentral:rRNA from 1 species
UCAGGCCUAACACAUGCAAGUCGAACGGUAACGCGGGGCAACCUGGCGACGAGUGGCGAACGGGUGAGUAAUGUAUCGGAACGUGCCCAGUAGUGGGGGAUAGCCCGGCGAAAGCCGGAUUAAUACCGCAUGAGACCUACGGGUGAAAGCGGGGGAUCGCAAGACCUCGCGCUAUUGGAGCGGCCGAUAUCAGAUUAGGUAGUUGGUGGGGUAAAGGCCUACCAAGCCGACGAUCUGUAGCUGGUCUGAGAGGACGACAGCCACACUGGGACUGAGACACGGCCCAGACUCCUACGGGAGGCAGCAGUGGGGAAUUUUGGACAAUGGGCGCAAGCCUGAUCCAGCCAAGCCGCGUGCGGGAAGAAGGCCUUCGGGUUUAAACUGAAGGGUCAGGGAAGAAAUCUUCUGGCUAAUACCUCGGGAGG